CGCUUUGCCAGCGGGCGGGCCUUCCGGGAGGGGUGGGAAGUGGCUCGUGUCUCUGGCAGGAGGCGGGUGUGUGUGCGGGUGUAGACCCGAAUCCUGCGGGCGGGCGGAGGGGCCGCAGGCCUGAGGCGAGGUCCCCCGAGGCUGCGGCUGCUCGGCCGGGAGGCGGCCGUUCGUUCCUCCGGUGGGGCGGCGCAGCGAGGGCCCCUGCGGGGGCUCUUCCGAAGCCCGUGCCCUCACCUGAAGGAGGGCAGUCCUGCGCUUGCCCGGCUUCCCCGGCGCGCUGCCGGUCAUCCCCCUUCCACCGUGCGGCUCAGGUCACCGCUGCCAUGGCUUUGCCCCAUCGGCCGGAUGCCCCGGAGCUGCCUGACUUCUCCAUGCUCAAGAGGCUGGCCCGAGACCAGCUCCUCUAUCUGCUGGAGCAGUAAUUGAAGACAGCAAUACCUGGAUUUAAUUAUGAAACGACAUUUACUAAAACUUCAAAUAUUAAGAAUUAUGAAAGCAAAGCUUGAACGUAACUGCUUACCCUAAAAAGUGUCAAAUGACCUGAAACGUGACAUUUGCAAGAGCCAAUGCAGUCCGCUCGUAGGAUCCCAUCAGCCAGAGAAGGACAGACCAAAGUGACACUUGUUGAAUCAAUUCCUGGAAGCCAAGCUUUCUGAUCAACCCAGGUGCUUCUCAAGGAGUCUUCCCAGAGAAAGGGUCUUGAACAAGAAUUGAAGACAGCCUUCAGAUGAAUAUUAGCUACGUCGUGCAUCCUGAGAGGUGACUGGCUUCCUGAGGGCAGAGAUCCUGUCGGCCUGCUCAUCACUUUAUCCUCAGGAAGGCUGACGUGUCCACAGACGAUUUGGAGGAGGUCUGUCUCCAGGAGUAGGGAGGGGAGGUGGUGUCUGGGGCUGUCGGAAGCCACUUUGUUUAGGGUCGGGGGAGCUGCUUAGUCAGGGGUGGGGUGUGCCCUCAAUGGCAGCCUCAAAGCUACACAGAAAGGACCCCCCCCGCCCCCCGCCUCGUCCCGCUGGCCAAUACACAUCUGUGCUUUUAGACUGUACUUCUAGGCUUUUAUUGUCAAGAUUGACUGGGGAAAAAAAAAAAAAAGAUUGACUGGGGCAGGUGGGUGGAGGGAAAGGAAGGUGGGGCAUCCCGGCCGCAGGAGGGUUAGGGCAGAUGGGGGGCAACAAUUGCCAUGGCUUAAAAAUGUCACCUAAACAGGUGGGUUUGGCCUCUGGUUGGGAGGAAAGUGGGCUGAGGAGAAGGGCGAAGAAAAAAGGAGACACUGGCACUCCCUUAGGAGGUCCUAUGGUGAGGGCUGGCACCAACAGGUGGACAGUUUCUGCCCAGUUCUCAGGAAUACACCCAGCUUUUCCAGGGCCACCAGCCCCUGUGUUAAUACACCCAGGGAAGAGCCGUGCAGACAAGAUUGCCCCCUCUUCUCGUGCCCGUGGCCCAUCAGGAAGUGAGCCUGGGGCACGAAUCCCCUGAAGUCAGUUCCAGGAAGAAAGAAUCAGUGUACCUCAGCCAAAUUUAUAAAAGUGUCAAUAUCAAAAGGUCCCAAACACCUGUAAACCAAGAAACAAGGAAGGCACCAAAGCAUAAAGUAAAAGCAAAAUGGGUCUCGGUGCUUUUGAGUUGAAUCAGGAGGAACAUCACUGCCUUCUCGCCACUGCUGGAUGCAGGAGUCCAGCAUCCCAUGCUAAUGUGGGAGGAGGCAGGGCUCGGGUCCACCAGUAAAGACUGUAAUUUAGAUUGUUGCCUGUUGGUUUCUCCUACCGAGCUCUGAGCGCAUGGAGGUGGGGUCAUUUGUUCAUUUUUUGUCUGCUGGGCGGGUAUCUGGUACCCGUGGGAAGCACUGAAUCAAUGCUUAGGGAAUGAAAGUGCUUUCAAAAUGGCAGUCCUUCUAGUGCUGUCACACCUGGUUUCUAUUCAGGCAGAUACUGGGCCAAUGAUCACGAUAUAGUCACUGGGCCGCUGUGUUGACUCCUUCUUGUGUCCUUGAUACGUAGGAGGCAGGAAAAAUUGAGUUGAGUUGGUGACGAAAGAGCG